CCCUGUUUCAGUAAAAUUCAGAUAUCUCCAAAAAUACAACUCUUUUGCUUAUUCUAUUUCUUUCAUAUGAAAAUAUACACAUUCAGCUUCAAUUUCAUAUAUUAUUCAGCUUCCCAUUCAUUUUCCACCAUUUAUGGUGAUUUUUCAAAGUUACCCAACUACUGUUGUUCAACACAGUUUAUAAUUAAAUCGUUCCUUUUGCGUUUUUGAUAUUUUCUCCCAUCUCAUACAUGGGUCGAUUUAGUAUUCAACUCAAUAUUUACCCCAUAAAAUUUUCCACCAUAUGGAAAUAUUCAUCUUCC
rnacentral:lncRNA from 1 species